GCCAGACUCCUACGGGAGGCAGCAGUGGGGGAUAUUGCACAAUGGGGGGAACCCUGAUGCAGCGACGCCGCGUGGGUGAAGGAGUGCUUCGGCAUGUAAAGCCCUAUCGGCAGGGAAGAAGCAAGACGGUACCUGACUAAGAAGCCCCGGCUAACUACGUGCCAGCAGCCGCGGUAAUACGUAUGGUGCAAGCGUUAUCCGGAUUUACUGGGUGUAAAGGGAGCGCAGGCGGCGCGUUAAGCCUGGUGUGAAAGCCCGCGGCCCAACCGCGGGACUGCAUUGGGAACUGGCGCGCUGGAGUGCCGGAGGGGUAGGCGGAAUUCCUAGUGUAGCGGUGAAAUGCGUAGAUAUUAGGAGGAACACCAGUGGCGAAGGCGGCCUACUGGACGGUGACUGACGCUGAGGUUCGAAAGCGUGGGGAGCAAACAGGAUUAGAUACCCCAGUA
rnacentral:rRNA from 1 species